rnacentral:tRNA from 1 species
GGAGGGAUACCCAAGCGGCCAACGGGGGCAGACUGUAAAUCUGCUGUUUUUAACUUCAGAGGUUCGAAUCCUCUUCCCUCCA